AUUGAACGCUGGCGGCAGGCUUAACACAUGCAAGUCGAACGAGUGGCGGACGGGUGAGUAAUGCAUGGGAAUCUGGCUGAUGGAGGGGGAUAACUACGGGAAACUGUAGCUAAUACCGCGUACAAGAGGAUGAGCACAAGGGGGAUGAGGUAGUUGGUGUGGUAAAUGCUCACCAAGCAGACGAUCUCUAGCUGGUCUGAGAGGAUGACCAGCCACACUGGGACUGAGACACUGCCCAGACUCCUACGGGAGGCAUCCGUGGGGAAUAUUGCGCAAUGGGGGCAACCUGACGCAGCCAUGCCGCGUGAAUUAAGAAGGCCUUCGGGUUGUAAAGUUCUUUCGGUAGCGAGGCGUUAACUACAGAAGAAUCACCGGCUAACUCCGUGCCAGCAGCCGCGGUAAUUC
rnacentral:rRNA from 1 species